GUGUAACCACCGCAGUUGCGAUACUCUUUCGGGCGCCUUUGCACGUUAACAGUCCGGAUGACACUCUCGAUGAGCGUGUUCGUAUAAUCAUUCGUAAGUACGAUCGAAAGUCGUGUUGUGUUUUCAUCAUCAUUUCAGGUCCUUUGAGUUCUUAAGUUCGCGAUAAACGAGUGCCGAUAAAACUUAUUAAUUUCCCAGACACCGGUAGCAAUAAUUUUUUUAUUUAUUUUUUUUUUCGAUUAGAUUUGUACCUUAAUAUUUCAUCCGUGUGGUGAAGUACCUUCAUUAAGUUACUAGUUCUAUCUUCAGUUUCUGCUCAGUUUCACACAUUCCUGUAAAUACAAGAAAUUCAGUUGCAAAAUAUUGGACGGCUAUUCGUACAGCAAAGGAAAGGAUAAAAUGAGACCCCUGUAGGUGGUAUUACAGGCAGUGAUGCUGUUUUUUGCAUUUAUAAUUUGCGUAACAGCCAUUACCACUGCUUCAUCGAGAAUAGGUUACUUUUGGCACAUCACUGAUAUACAAUAUGACGCAAAUUAUGUAACAGCUACCGAUGAUUACGCAAAAAAUUGCAAACAAUCAUCGGACGAUCUAGAGCUUAUGAUCGCGGUCGAAAGAAGACGACCAACUAAUAGUCGUGGCACACUGGGUGACUAUGCAUGUGAUUCGCCAUGGUCAUUAGUCAAAUCAGCCGUAAGGGCUAUGAAAGAAAAACACGGUGACAACAUCGAAUUCAUCCUUUGGUCUGGGGAUUCCGUAUCAUUGGAUGUAAAUGAUGCAUCUGCUCGUGUAGUAGCUAUUCAAAAUGUUACCAAUUUGCUCAGUCACACGUUCAGCAGUCAAUUUGUCUUCCCAGUAUUAGGACACGACGAUCCAGGUGCUUUACUUGGUCAACGAAUCGGUUAUACCGAGUUGGGAUAUUACUGGCGACAAUGGCUACCAACAGAUGCCAUACAAACAUUUAACAAAGGUGGUUACUACACAAUAGAACAAAAAAGCAAUAAACUGAGAAUAAUUGCUCUAAAUUCUAAUGCAUUUACCUCAUACGAAAAUGAUGAAGAUGUUAAUCCAAAUGAGCAACUCGCAUGGUUAGAAAGAAUUCUUCUAAAGUCCGCUAAAAAUAAAGAAACGGUUUAUCUAGUUAGUCAUAAAUGUCCAGGAGUCAAUGAAAGGGAUCCUGAUGAAGCUCCCAAAUUUCACGAUAAAUAUAGUUCUAAGUACUUACAAUUGAUUCGGAGGUAUGCCAAUAUUAUUGUUGGUCAGUUCUGUGGUGACCUUCACUCGGAUACUUUUCGAAUAGUAUAUGAUCACAAUAAAAGGCCGGUGUCGUGGAUGAUGAUGUCACCAUCUUUAACACCUAGCAAAUCGCCAGGCAUAUCGAAUAACCCAGGCCUAAGACUUUACAAAUUUAAUAUUAAUUCCGGCCAUAUUUUAGAUUACACUCAAUAUUAUAUCGACUUAGAAACGUCGACGAAUGGAAGUCCGGAUGACUGGAGAGUAGAAUACAAUUUGACACAAUAUUAUGGGCUACAUGAAAUCACGCCAAGAUCAUUACAUGAAGUGGCAGAGACAUUUCAACUGGAUAAUUCUAUACAGUUUGACAGAUACAUCGAGGCCAACUCUGUGCGGUUACACCAAUCUCGAGAGUGUAACUUAGAAUGCCGUAGAAUGCACUAUUGUGCUGUUAGAGAGUUGGACUAUAGUCGGUUUCACAGUUGUGUAGAAACCGCAGCCGAAGCGCUUUCAGUUUCCGCUUCCCCGCCACACUGCCACACGCUAUUUGCUGCGGUUUUACUGGUCGCCAUAGCAUUAGUACACCAGCGCCAACAGUAUUAACCUUCAUCUAUUCAACUUUGACAUGUUUCAGGUAAAUCGGAAAAGAUUAAAUUGUGACACAAAAAGCUUAAUGUUUAAAGUAUCAAUAAAUUUGUAUUACCGUUUAUUUUUCAUUGUUUUGAUAGCAUAAAGCAUUAAAUAACGGACUCAAAAAAUAUUCAAAAGUGCUCAAUCUGAUGCUGAUAAUUAAAUGCCAUCGAAGAAGAUAGUUUUAAUGAAAGCUCAAGUAAAAAGGACGCUAUGGAAUUAUAUUAGAAUUAAAUUUGAAAGUUUCAAAAAAAGAGCUGUAGAAAGAUUAAUAAGAAGUUAUGACGAAUUAUAGACACUAAGCAAGUUGUAUAUUAUAUCAAAAUUAUAAUUUAAUAAUCAAGUAUCCAUUUUAUUUGUACAAGUAGAAAUUUUCUCAUUAAAAUCAGAAGAGUCUGACGUAGUUUAGGAUGAUUUUAACAAACCUGGUCCUUCUAAAAUGUACAUUAAUCAACCAACUAAAGGAAGUGUGAUUUAAUUACUCAAAAACUUGUAGCUGCUCUUGAUAAAUGGGAAAUAAGUAAUAAGGAUGCAUUAUCUGCAUUAAUAUUAACAGUAAAAGCAUUGAGUAAGCAAGUUGAAAAAUUAAUUAUGAUAUUAAUAGUCUUUCAAUUGGACACUCACAUAUACGUUUCCGCGAAUAGCGCGUGGAAAAAAUUCGUAGUGAUUAUUGGGUAACUGUUAAUGUUUCCAUUGUUUUUUUUGUGAGAUUCAUACGCUUUAACCAUUACAACCAUUAACAAAACAAAAAAAUGUUAAUAGACUGCCUUUUAUUGCUUCGUAUAAUGGUGAGAGUAUAUUAUUAGGAGUUUCAACAGUUGAUACAAAAACAGAGGUUAGCCAGACUAAUGCAAUUUUCCUCAUUGAUUGGUGCAUAAUAGAAAAUUUGGAUAUAUUAAUCGGUACUUGUAUUCUAUAAGAAAAUUACUUAUAACAUAAUAUUUUAUACAUACCAUGUCGACAUCAUAUUUACGAAUUAGGCUUGAAGAGUGUUUUUGAAGUAUGAUUGUGUACAAAAUCUGGUCCUGAUGUACCAAUACUUAUACGCUUUCAACAAUGUUGAAGAAACAUAGCUACUAACAAAUUCUAGCCAGGUACAAUGAAUAACUCUGAAAAAAAAAAAUAAUAAUUUAUAUAGGUGUAGAUGUAAUUAACUUAACAAAUAACUAUUUUCUCAUUAAACUAACAAUCACUUUUCUGGAUGGAGUUCCCCCGUGCAAACUUUUCUCUGAAGUUUCGGGAGCUGUCUAUCAUUCUAAAUAGAUGGAAAAAGCUUUAUAUUGUUUAAAAAUAUUUUUACUCGUAAAUCAAUUGUGUUUUUAACAAAGAGGAGAAAUGUCAUUUGUUAAUAUUUGCAAUUUCAUUAAUCGAUUAUAUGUAUACGCUUUGUUUUAUGCACCGCCUCCCAGGCACCAUGCCGAGAUUUUAUUUUAUAUUUAACUUUAUUAAACAUCAGUCAUUAGAUAAAAAUAUACCAGAAAUCACAAUUAAAAACCUGUUUAGCCAUUUAUGGUAUCUAUCGUCCGAGACCACGGUAUUAUUAUCAAUUUUUAAUUCACACGAUACAUGUCACUAAAAGAAAAAUUAUAGUUGUUUUUAAAAUUCAAACUAAUGACAAUAAACCAGUAGAUAUUUAUGGAAUGAUAAAAAAUCUACUGAAGUAUAAAAAUCUUUGAAGAAGAUUUCAUUUGUUGUAAAUGAAUGCUAUUUUCAUACGUUUUAAUAUAGACAAUAAUUUUCUCAUUAUUCACCCAUUAUUAUGGAGUAUUAAUAAAAAAUUUAAAGGAUCGACAGUUCUAUUAAUAGUUCAAAUUUAGUCAAUGAUAAAACUGAAAGUAAUAAACUACUAAAGCAUUUUAAGAUUAAAAUAACAUACCUACGAUGAAGUCAAAACCUAUAUUUUCUUUAAGUAGUGAACGACUACAGUAAAAGAAUGUUUCCAGUUUCCUAAAAAAAUGCUAUUUUAGAUAAUUAGUUUAACAAUUAUUAUUAGUGAUAAUACAAAUAUUAUUUAUUAUUUGCCAUACUAUAAAACUAAUACUGGAAUUGAUUUUAUGAGUUUAGCAAUAAAAAAUUUAUAU